AUGCUGGGCCAUUGUUAUUAUUAUUGCUCUUUCCCAAAAUAGGAUACCACAUGAGGCUGUGUACCUAACAACAUGAGACCCCCUACCACCAGGAGGAAGCCAGCUGGGGAAGCAGGGCCCUAGGCAUCUCCCAGGUGACAAAACCAGGUUUGCUCUGGCUGCCUUCCUGACCCUCUCAGCAGGUAGCCACCUCCUCUCUGCACAUGCUGUGGUGUCAUGGAUUACAGACCACAAAGACAAAGCCCAGGCUUCAGGCACCUGGUGAACAAAGCAGAACUAACUCCUCUCUACCAAAGGAUAAUGACAAGAAAUGCCUCUAGAAGACCUCAGAACUCUGCUCAAAACCCAACCAAGGAGGAGGAGGACUUGUCUGCUGCUGCUGCUGAAGGCCGAUGAAAAAGAAGAUGAAGAUUCAAAGACUGCUGAUGAAACCUGCAUUCCCACCUCUUGAGAGAGAGACAGACGGAGACGAGUGUUCUCAGCUGCGGCUGGCGUGUCUGUGUCUGUCUGGGACUGUUCACGUAUGUCAUAAAGGGCAGGCCUCAGGAGGACAGGUUAGUGGGCAGUGACAGAUGUGCAAAAGUGACCCCCCAA
rnacentral:lncRNA from 1 species